rnacentral:lncRNA from 1 species
CACCAUCACAACCCACGUUACAAAUCCUCCUCCUCAUCAUAACCAUUCUGUUUUCCGCAUAAUAUCCAAAAACCUAUCAUGUCUGAAGAGAAACACCACCGCGGUCUCUUCCACCACCACAAGGAUGAAGACAAACCCUCAGACUACCCUCAGUCUGGCUACUCUGAUGAAGGACGUCCCGGCGGCCUCGGUGGUGGUUACGGCGACACCAAUGAUUAUUCUGGUGAAGGACGUACCGGCGGCCUAGGUGGUGGCUAUGGCGACACCAAUGCUUAUUCUGGUGAAGGACGUCCCGGCGGCUAUGGCGGCUAUAACGAGACCACUGCUUACUCUGAGGAAAGAGUUGAAAGACCCGGCGGUGGCCGGUACAGUGAGACUACUGCGGCAUAUGGCAGCACCACCACUCAUGAAUCUGAACUUGAUUACAAGAAGGAGGAGAAGCACCACAAGCAUCUCGAGCACCUCGGCGAGGCCGGUGUAGCUGCUGCCGGCGCUUUUGCCUUGGUACGUAUUGUAUUUUAACCCACCUCUAUAUAUAUAUAUAUUAGAAUAAUGCUAAUAAGACCAAAUUUUGAAAACUAAAUGAUGUGGUUGUUGAUAAUGAACUUAUUACUCAAGUCUUGAUUAACAUGCUUAUUUUCUAAUAGUGACACAUUAUUUGGUUUAGAAAUUUGGUCUUCCUAACUUUAUCAUUCUCAAAAUUUUCAUGAUUUUGAUAGGGUAAUACGGGAGAUCAAAAUUUCUAAACCAAAUUUGCAAACCAAUAGAUGAUUGGAUUAUUAAUUAAGUAUCGAUUGUUUGUUUCUUAUUAACGACAUAUCAUUUGAUUUACAAUUUAGUUAAAAAAAAUUUAUUCUUUCUGUCAUAUCCUUUUGAAUAUUUGAUCACUUUACUCUUUAUCACUUUACCCUUGAUCACUUUACCCAUACUCUUGCAACCGAAUCACCGUCCUCCUCCUUAACCUUCAUUUUUUUGUCUUACAGUACUCCAAUCUAUCAACUCUGUCCAUUGCAACUUUAAUUGUGAAGAAAAUUAAAGUCCUAUCGUAAAAUUAAUUAGUGAUAUGGAGAGUUGCGCAAUUAUUGAUGGACUAGGUAGGUAAGAUACGGAAUCAAAGUCUACCAUUAACAAUGGACGGAAUUGAUGAACCAUAUAGGUAUGUAAGAUACGGAAUCAAAGUCCUCAUGUAAAUGGUACAGUUGCAAUCAGGAGAAGAAAUGAGUUAACUGAUACCUUCGUAAUAGUUCAUGUAGAGUUUUGAUAUUAUUAAGCCUUAACCACCUGAUCUUAUAUAUACGAGGACAAAUCUAAUCAAAUAUGUGUUAAUUUCAAGGUUUGUUUUACAUUGAUGUGAGAUCGAUGCUAGCAAGAUAUAUAACUUAUGUCAGUUUCUAUAUGAUGUGUGUAGCAUGAGAAGCACAAUGAAAAGAAAGACCCAGAGCAUGCCCACAGGCACAAGAUAGAAGAGGAGAUUGCUGCAGCAGCUGCAGUUGGUUCGGGUGGAUUUGCCUUCCAUGAGCAUCAUGAGAAGAAAGAGACAAAGGAAGAAGAG